rnacentral:rRNA from 1 species
AGAACGAACGCUGGCGGCAUGCCUAAUACAUGCAAGUCGAACGAACACUUCGGUGUUAGUGGCGCACGGGUGCGUAACGCGUGGGAAUCUGCCCUUGGGUUCGGAAUAACAGUUGGAAACGACUGCUAAUACCGGAUGAUAUCGAAAGAUCAAAGAUUUAUCGCCCAGGGAUGAGCCCGCGUAGGAUUAGCUAGUUGGUGAGGUAAGCUCACGAGGCGACGACUCCUUAGCGUGGUCUGAGAGGAUGAUCGAGCCACACGUGGGACUGAGACACGGCCAGACUCCG